GAGGGUAUAGUUCAGUGGUAGAGUGUGUGCUUAGCAUGCACGAUGCCCUGGGUUCAGUUUCCAGUGGCUUCU
rnacentral:tRNA from 1 species